UACGCGAUGUACGUAGGGCAUUUACUGUGAGGUAAAGAGCGGAGGCGAUCAUCUUCUCAUCAUGGUGGUAAAGUUUUCGAGCCUCGAAAGUCGCAUGCUCUCCGCUUAAACUUUGAGCAAGCCGAGACCGAUCGUACGACGUCCCGUCGCAGUCGAACCCCAUCCUCCCAUCCCCUCCUGCGCUACCUCCGGCUGAGGCCCUUCGAGAAGCAGCCGCCGUAGAGGACCCUCUGCCUGCUCCUGGCGGAGGCGCUGAUGAAACCGGCGAAGCCGCUCCAGUGGCUCCGACAGUAGUACGCGCUGGCGUUGUGGCCGGCGCGAGCGCCGAAGCCGAAGUAUCAGAAACGGCUCCGGCCGCAACGACUCGCUCAGUGGUACCUGUUCGUGUACUAGCUACCGGCGUACCAGCUUCGGUUCUUUCGACAAGGGUCCCUGCUGGUCUCGUAACGUUCGUUCUUGUUACCGUCGUCGUAUCCGAGCGGACCCGGUCAGGCAUGGUCUUUCUAGAAACAACCCCCCGACCGGAGGUUACAAUGACUCCAACUUAAGUCUUCCAUAAAACUCGUUAAGCCGUACUAUUGUCUACACCAACAGUACAUGCUGGUGUUGUGUGUCUCCGGGUCCCCGAAACCGAAGUAGUGGAUACUAAGUCUUCUACGUCACCUAUUCCGCGACGUGUUCUUGAAGGUACUCGAAUUACCGUUCUACCAACUUCAGUUCUCUCGACAGGGUUUCCUCGUCAGCGGACCUGGACAGCGUGCGAGUGGACGACCUCCCGUCUUGGAACGAUAGUCGUCCCAAGUGUUGAAGAACUUACCGAAGUUGGUCCCUAUAUCGGGUUUGGGCUAUCCUCCAAUGCCGUACUCCCACCUACCUUCCAAACCGGACGAAAGUCCACGUGCUUUACCCAAAAGAAGUAAACCGGGGUCAAUACCUUACCCGUACUUACAACUUUGACCCUACUUACGUUUAAAACCACGUUUGAGAUCAAAGGAGUUAUUGAGUUUACCCGCCGUUUACCCAAGUAUGAUGUUACCACCAAAUUUGUCUGAUCCGUCGGGAUAACCCAUGCAACCAGACUUACUACUAAGUCCUAGCUAUAACUCAAGUUACCCUUCCUUACAAACCCCAUUACCUUUACAGUUGAUGGUCUUGUCGGGAUGUUUGUACUCAAGAAAACAUGGUAGACCUUCACCCUCAGUUCAACCAUAAUGACCGCUACCAUAUUUAACCCCUCCAGGAUGAAGACGGGUACCCUACCCUUCGUAAAGUUCGGAACCCAGAUUGUAACCGGCACCCCGACCUCUAUUGAAACCAAACGGCAGACCGCCGAUACCUUCCUCGUUGGGUUGACCGUGGUAACCACUUGGAAAAAGACGCAGUCGGUUACGUAUACUUUACUUGUUGUAUCUAUGUAUACCGUUGUUGAGAUAAAUACCACUGAGUUGGACCUCCAAGUGCAGUAGACUCUAGCUAUAAGGAGGAAAACUAUUACUAGAACCUUUAUAGCUAGGUCUAUAGUUUAGCUUGUACGGUCGUUCAAUGUACCCGUUGAUAUGACAAUUAUUAUUAGUCUGUUCGUCUCACGGUAGGACUUCAACUCCCAUUUACUAUCGUAACCUCUACACAUUACGUACACGGACUUGUUGUAUUUCCCAUAGUGAAGGAUCCGCUCUUAUAAUAAUAUCAGUAUAUAUACUGAACCCUAUCCGUUCUGUGGGUAAUAUAGUCCAUAAGUGCACGUCAUGACACUUAACCACUAUAGUCUAAUUAUAUGUCCAAUCAAUUAACAAAGAUCGAUUGGUCUCCACACCAAAUGCCUGUGGUUGGUUGUACGAUCUCCUCGCCCUAUGUUUGUAAAACACUUCCAAAGUCUAAAAUCAAAUUAAAAGAUGCACAUAAUCCAGAAAACCAAAAGGUUACUCUACACGUCACCACUAACGCCGUGUGUGAAUCUUCCACAAGGUUGUAUUCGACCUUAAGACAGUAUGCCUGCUGUUUGAACAUAUGGUCCCUACGACAUAAUAGAACGGGUAAAUACCGUUGUAAUCGAACGCACAAAAAGGAGAAGAGGAAAAAAUUGGUAAAGUAAACAAUGAUCUCCUAAACCAGCCGAAAUGAUCAUUUUUGAUAAACCCCCACGGUUACGGUAUGACCAGGGGUAAUUAUUUCAGUGGGUUUCAUGU
rnacentral:rRNA from 1 species